UUGAACGCUGGCGGCAGGCCUAACACAUGCAAGUCGAGCGGAUGAAGGGAGCUUGCUCCUGGAUUCAGCGGCGGACGGGUGAGUAAUGCCUAGGAAUCUGCCUGGUAGUGGGGGAUAACGUCCGGAAACGGGCGCUAAUACCGCAUACGUCCUGAGGGAGAAAGUGGGGGAUCUUCGGACCUCACGCUAUCAGAUGAGCCUAGGUCGGAUUAGCUAGUUGGUGGGGUAAAGGCCUACCAAGGCGACGAUCCGUAACUGGUCUGAGAGGAUGAUCAGUCACACUGGAACUGAGACACGGUCCAGACUCCUACGGGAGGCAGCAGUGGGGAAUAUUGGACAAUGGGCGAAAGCCUGAUCCAGCCAUGCCGCGUGUGUGAAGAAGGUCUUCGGAUCGUAAAGCACUUUAAGUUGGGAGGAAGGGCAGUAAGUUAAUACCUUGCUGUUUUGACGUUACCAACAGAAUAAGCACCGGCUAACUUCGUG
rnacentral:rRNA from 1 species